UACAGAGACUGCAAGCGUUAUUCGGAUUCACUGGGCGUAAAGGGCGCGUAGGCGGGCUCGCAGGUCAGGGGUGAAAGCCCACGGCUCAACCGUGGAAGUGCCUUUGAUACCGUGAGUCUCGAGGGAGGUAGGGGCGUGCGGAACUUCCGGUGGAGCGGUGAAAUGCGUAGAUAUCGGAAGGAACAUCGGUGGCGAAAGCGGCGCGCUGGACCUCUUCUGACGCUGAGGCGCGAAAGCCAGGGGAGCAAACGGG
rnacentral:rRNA from 1 species